rnacentral:rRNA from 1 species
AUUGAACGCUGGCGGCAGGCCUAACACAUGCAAGUCGAGCGAGCGGCGGACGGGUGAGUAAUGUCUGGGAAACUGCCUGAUGGAGGGGGAUAAGUACUGGAAACGGUAGCUAAUACCGCAUACCAUCGGAUGUGCCCAGAUGUGAUUAGCUUGGUGGGGGGGUAACGGCUCACCCAGGCGACGAUCCCUAGCUGGUCUGAGAGGAUGACCAGCCAAACUGGAACUGAGACACGGUCCAGACUCCUACGGGAGGCAGCAGUGGGGAAUAUUGCACAAUGGGCGCAAGCCUGACGCAGCCAUGCCGCGUGUAUGAAGACGGUCUUCGGGUUGUAAAGUUCUUUCAGCGGGGAGGCGUUACCCGCUCAAGAAGCACCGGCUAACUCCGUGCCAGCAGCCGCGGUAAUAC